AUACGAAGGGGGCUAGCGUUGUUCGGAAUUACUGGGCGUAAAGCGCGCGUAGGCGGAUACUUAAGUCAGGGGUGAAAUCCCGAGGCUCAACCUCGGAACUGCCCUUGAUACUGGGUAUCUUGAGUUCGAGAGAGGUAAGUGGAAUUCCGAGUGUAGAGGUGAAAUUCGUAGAUAUUCGGAGGAACACCAGAGGCGAAGGCGGCUUACUGGCUCGAUACUGACGCUGAGGCGCGAAAGCGUGGGGAGCAAACAGGAUUAGAAACCCCGGUAGUCC
rnacentral:rRNA from 1 species